GAUGAAGAACGUAGUGAAAUGCGAUAAGUAGUGUGAAUUGCAGAAUUCAGUGAAUCAUCGAAUCUUUGAACGCACAUUGCGCCCCCUGGUAUUCCGGGGGGCAUGCCUGUUCGAGCGUCAUUUCACCACUCAAGCCUCGCUUGGUAUUGGGCAACGCGGUCCGCCGCGUGCCUCAAAUCGACCGGCUGGGUCUUCUGUCCCCUAAGCGUUGUGGAAACUAUUCGCUAAAGGGUGCUCGGGAGGCUACGCCGUAAAACAAACCCAUUUCUAAGGUUGACCUCGGAUCAGGUAGGGAUACCCGCUGAACUUAAGCAUAUCAAUAAGCGGAGGA
rnacentral:misc_RNA from 1 species